rnacentral:lncRNA from 1 species
GGCCACAGGCUCCGAGUUUUGGCGUGAGGAGACCGCUGAUCGGCUACGGGCGCCGAACUUGCUGGCCUCAGGCAUGUGCCUGAGCGGCGGCGGAAAAACCACCUCAGUUGGGGCGGAGGGUUAGUUUUAAGAGCAAGGGGCCUUUACUAAAAUGGCGAAGGCCUUCCGUCGGCGUUGUUUUAAAAUGGGAAGCCUCGACCCAGUAUUGAGACAGCUGUUCGAAGGCGGCGUUGUGUGCAAUUCGGAUUAAUGAAGGGGAAGGGUUUUGUGUGGAAAAACACCUUGGAGUGUGACAUUUCUGCGAGAAUGCUUAAAUACCGAUUUCCCGCAGGAACAAUGGCGCUGUCUUCAGUGGCACAGCGGAGCAGUUCUGUGAAGAUGCAAAGAUACACGAAAAAAAUUCCAGAACAUCUGGGAGAAUAUUUAAUGGAAAAUCGCUUGGUUAAAACCUGACACUUAACAGUGAGGGUCGCUGUCUGCCCAUUGAUAGAGGCCAGAUUGUCUUGGAAGUUCCAAAGUUGCAACGAUUUCUGGCUAGUGCCACGAGGUUUACUUGACUGUUGUGUGAAAAGCUGAUAAGAAAACCAUCCAGAAAACAGCUCUUCGUUUUACAAACAUGAAAAUAAAACAUGUAAUUUUG